rnacentral:rRNA from 1 species
UACGGAGGGUGCGAGCGUUGUCCGGAAUCACUGGGCGUAAAGGGCGCGUAGGCGGCUGGGGAAGUCGGCGGUGAAAGCCCGGAGCUCAACUCCGGGUCGGCCGUCGAGACUCCUCGGCUCGAGCUCACUAGAGGCAGAUGGAAUUCCGGGUGUAGCGGUGGAAUGCGUAGAGAUCCGGAAGAACACCGGUGGCGAAGGCGGUCUGCUGGGGUGAGGCUGACGCUGAUGCGCGACAGCGUGGGGGAGCAACAGG